rnacentral:rRNA from 1 species
UACGGGGGGGGCAAGCGUUGUUCGGAAUUACUGGGCGUAAAGGGUUCGUAGGUGGCUCGCUAAGUCAGACGUGAAAUCCCUCAGCUUAACUGGGGAACUGCGUCUGAGACUGGCAAGCUUGAGUGCAGGAGAGGAACGCGGAAUUCCAGGUGUAGCGGUGAAAUGCGUAGAUAUCUGGAGGAACACCGGUGGCGAAGGCGGCGUUCUGGACUGUAACUGACACUGAAGAACGAAAGCCAGGGGAGCAAACGGG